CUAAAGUAUUUUUAAAGGAUUCUAAGUGUGAUGGGCCUGGGAGAAAAGAAGCGUAAACAAACCUAGGGAGGACUGAUAUGGGUAAUCUCGGGUUAAGUUUCGGUCCUGCAGUUGCAGAGGUGAUGAUUUAAACUUUUAAAAUUUCUUACAGUGAAAGACACAUUGCUAAGAAGAAUUGGAUAAAUGUGCUCAAAACAAAGGGGAGUAUUUACUGUAACAAAAAGUUUGAGCAAGAGUGCUCCAUAUCUUUGACCACUCCUCAUUAAUCAAAUGCUUAUGGUAAUUUUUGUCAAAUAAAAACAGGGUGUGUCCUCUUCCACCUUACAUACUGACUCUGGUACUAUGUGACUCCUGACUCUUCUCUAAAAUCAAGAUGACCACGAACUGGAAAUGUUUUGGAUCCAUUCAGGACAUGGAGGCAGCCACAACAGUGCAACUGCAGACACUCAUGAAAGAGGACUUCCAGAGCUGCUUCCGAAAGUGGCAAGCAUGUCUUAGGUGUUCUCCAAGGAACAAAACUACUUAUGUGCAGAAUCCUUAUUUGUUACCAGCCUGCUAUUUCCAUGACUAUGAUGCCUGCCAGAAUGGUCUCAGAGAGCCAAGAGGAAGUGGGGCCAUUUUUCUUUGCUUGGAAAUCUUCAGACCAGCAGAUGGGCUCGUUUAG
rnacentral:lncRNA from 1 species